rnacentral:rRNA from 1 species
UUGAUCCUGGCUCAGGACGAACGCUGGCGGCGUGCCUAAUACAUGCAAGUCGAGCGGAAUGAUGAAGAAGCUUGCUUCUUCUGAUUUUAGCGGCGGACGGGUGAGUAACACGUGGGCAACCUACCUUGUAGAUUGGGAUAACUCCGGGAAACCGGGGCUAAUACCGAAUAAUCCAUUUUGCUUCAUGGCAAGAUGUUGAAAGGCGGCUUCGGCUGUCACUACGAGAUGGGCCCGCGGCGUAUUAGCUAGUUGGUAGGGUAAUGGCCUACCAAGGCGACGAUACGUAGCCGACCUGAGAGGGUGAUCGGCCACACUGGGACUGAGACACGGCCCAGACUCCUACGGGAGGCAGCAGUAGGGAAUCUUCCACAAUGGACGAAAGUCUGAUGGAGCAACGCCGCGUGAGUGAAGAAGGUUUUCGGAUCGUAAAACUCUGUUGUAAGGGAAGAACACGUACGAGAGUAACUGCUCGUACCUUGACGGUACCUUAUUAGAAAGCCACGGCUAACUACGUGCCAGCAGCCGCGGUAAUACGUAGGUGGCAAGCGUUGUCCGGAAUGAUUGGGCGUA